rnacentral:tRNA from 1 species
AGAGUUGUGGCUCUGUGGUAGAGCACCCGCCUAGCACAUGUGAGACCCUGAGUUAGAUCCUCAGCAUCAUUU